rnacentral:tRNA from 1 species
AGACAGGUGUCUGAGAGGUCGAAGGUACUUCGUUGGAAGCGAAGUGUAGGUCAAACUACCGUGGGUUCGAAUCCCAUCCUGUCUGCCA